rnacentral:rRNA from 1 species
AGAGUUUGAUCCUGGCUCAGAACGAACGCUGGCGGCGUGGAUAAGACAUGCAAGUCGAACGGGUUUAGUUCGGUAGCAAUACUGGAUUGAGCCAGUGGCGAACGGGUGCGUAACACGUGAGUCAUCUGCCUGAAAGUGGGGGAUAGCUCGCCGAAAGGCGAAUUAAUACCGCAUGUGCCCCGAAGCAAUUCGGGGUAAAGCCGGGGUAACCUGGCGCUUUUAGAGGAACUCGCGGCCUAUCAGCUUGUUGGUAAGGUAACGGCUUACCAAGGCUUCGACGGGUAGCUGGUCUGAGAGGACGACCAGCCACACUGGAACUGAGACACGGUCCAGACACCUACGGGUGGCAGCAGUCGAGAAUUUUUCUCAAUGGGGGAAACCCUGAAGGAGCGACGCCGCGUGGAGGAUGAAUGCUUUCGGGUUGUAAACUCCUGUCAUUUGGGAACAAAGCCUUACGUUAACUGCGUGGAGGUUUGAUAGUACCAGAAGAGGAAGAGACGGCUAACUCUGUGCCAGCAGCCGCGGUAAUACAGAGGUCUCAAGCGUUGUUCGGAUUCAUUGGGCGUAAAGGGCGCGUAGGCUGCGGGGCAAGUCGGGUGUGAAAUCUCAGAGCUCAACUCUGAAACUGCACUCGAUACUGCUUUGCUUGAGGACUGGAGAGGAGAUUGGAAUUCACGGUGUAGCAGUGAAAUGCGUAGAUAUCGUGAGGAAGACCAGUGGCGAAGGCGGAUCUCUGGACAGUUCCUGACGCUGAGGCGCGAAGGCCAGGGGAGCAAACGGGAUUAGAUACCCUAGUAGUCC